AGCAGUUUAUUUCCUUUUUCUUUGCUACGGUGACCAGUGAGUGUGUGACUCGGUUUUAUGAAAACACCUUCUUUAAAGGAGGAGAUGUGGGUGCGGUACACACCCCAACUGCUGAGGACUGCCAGAGAGCAUGCACCUUCCAUCCCAGUUGUAUACUGUUUAGCUUUCUACCUGCAAAUGCCAUUAAUGAUGAGAACAAAAGAUUCGGUUGCUUCUUAAAAGACAGUGUUACUGGAACUCUUCCAACAAUUACUAGGACAAAUACAAUUUCUGGGCAUUCCUUAAAACAAUGUGUUUAUCAAAGAAGUGGUAAGUUGUAGUUUACUUGUUUCAAUUUGUAUAAUUUAGUUAUAACAU